GGCUCACUCCCACACAGCUGCAGUGGCCAGACCAGCGCCAGGAGCCCGCAGCUCCAUCCAGACCUCCCACCUGGUGGCAGGUGGGCUGUGUUACAUUGUAUCAAAGCAGGAGUGGUCACUCCUAUAUGCCUCCAGGUGUAUCAUUAGGGAGUUGAAUCAGAAGUGGAACCACUGGGACCUGAACCGACACUCAUCGUGUUGUUGUUAUAGGCGGCUUAACACGCUGAGCCACCGCACAGGCCCUGGGAUACAGCGACCUUCAGCGCUGAUGGAAAUGUUCUAAAGUUGCCUCUGGUGGAAUCAGCCACGGAGGUAGCCGAAUCAUGCAGCGUGUGCAUCAAGGCCAGACCACACGCCCACAGGUUCCGGUUCCUGAGAUCCCCAAUGCUGGAGACCCUGACGUGUCUGAGGACAACCUGAGACAAAGUCAUGGGCUGCUUGCUGACGCCAAAAGCCAUGUACGUCCCUCCAUUCCACACCUGCAGUGGCUGCUGUGGCCUGGUCUGGGGAGGCCUGAGGUGCCGACUCUGCCAACCGAAAAGCCUCAGUGGGCCCCACCCCAGCCUGCCGCCAGCCCAGCACACCACUCCCACGGCAGGUGCUGGUCAAGGAUCUCAGCCUGCCAUGGCGUGUGCUGGCAGGCCUUUCAGCCUUCCCCCGCCCGCUGGGCAGCCUGCGCAGCAACAGGUGCUAGCACAAGCAAAAUAUAUCCUUAAAAUGUUUAAAUUUCCAUAUCCUGUGCAGCCUGGGCAGUUCCACCCCAGCUCAUUAGCAUUUCCAUUUCCUGAUCUUUGCUGUUAGGAGUGUUCAUGUAACACUUGAGUGGCUCUCCAUAAAAUAAAGUGCAUCCGUGUAGGCCCCCAGCGUGUGGUCCCCUGCAUGGAGGCUGUAGGAUGCUGGCAGGGUCCUCUGGGUCGCGGUGCCUGGCCGGUGACCUGUUCAGACUGUCCCUACACUAGGGACAAGGUGCAUGGAGCGUUUUACCCACUCACACCUCCUGCUGUUGGGUGACACCCCUCUGUUCCUGUUUGCUCACGGGGAGAGGAAAUGUGGAUGUGGCUGGCUGAGAGGUGAUCAGGCAGAGUCCUGCUGUGUGGCCAGCACCCCGCAGAGCUCUCACCCUUGGCCACCUAAUACAGUAGCCCAGGGAAGAUGACAAUGGAGCCAGAGGACUGUGGUGGGGCUGGAAGGGUAGGAUGCAAAGUUCUAGAGUGAUAAGGUUGGACACUUGGCUGCAAGUCUGCUGGGCCCUGCCUGAAAGGGCCUCCUUCACGGCCACACCUACAGCAGCUGAGAUGGGAGAGGGAAACAGCUGUACCAGGAGGCAGUGGCCUCAGCUGGAAACCACCCGAGAGCUGUCCGCUGCCUGGACAUGCUGGCCAAGUGCCGUUCCCUUUGGUGCCUGCCAACAGGGACGAUGCCUUGGCCGGUGCAGACACAGCCCUGUCAGAAGGGACCCUGGUCACUGGGAGUGGGCCUGGCUAGACAGG